UUGAACUCGGGUUUCUUGCCUUUGAAGUCUGAGAAAGGCUCGUUCUCCAUCUGAUCUGGCUUCACCCAGUCCCAGGACAUGUAGCCAAGGCUCAGUAAACUCACCAUUGAAAGCCCGAGAACGUCACAGCCAGCUGAAACAGGAUGCCAAAGAAAACACGCUCGUGACCGUACAGACCGAUUUGUAAUGUUGAGGAAAACGUUCUCAGAUUGUCCUUCGGGGCCCACCAUCAGAAAGUUCCUUUGAGGAUGGGUUGCAAGCCAUCAAGAGGUUCAUUCUGCCAUCUACUACGUUUGAGUGGGGAGCAUGCAAAGGCUGAAGCUCACGCUUCACUCUUAAGCUUUGUGGUGCCAGCAAGGGAACUGGGGUGCUGUCCAAUCAGCUGUGGUCUAUUACAAAAUUAUGGGCUCUGUAAGAGGCCUGGCUUCCAGGCCUAGAAGAGAGGUGUUUAGGGAAUGCAUGGUGUGGAUUUGUGUCAGUUUUGUGUGGCAUUGGUUUCUUUUUUCUGUUUUGUUUGCUUGAUUGUUCUCAAAGAUUUCAGUUGCUUUGG